rfam:Babesia equi strain WA chromosome 1, complete sequence.
CAAUAGGCUCUUCUUAGAGCCACUCACUACAGAGAAAUCCAUGGGU